rnacentral:rRNA from 1 species
UACGUAGGUGGCAAGCGUUGUCCGGAAUUAUUGGGCGUAAAGGGCGCGCAGGCGGCGUCGUAAGUCGGUCUUAAAAGUGCGGGGCUUAACCCCGUGAGGGGACCGAAACUGCGAUGCUAGAGUAUCGGAGAGGAAAGCGGAAUUCCUAGUGUAGCGGUGAAAUGCGUAGAUAUUAGGAGGAACACCAGUGGCGAAAGCGGCUUUCUGGACGACAACUGACGCUGAGGCGCGAAAGCCAGGGGAGCAAACGGGAUUAGAUACCCCGGUAGACUGACU